UGUUUCGGUGCGGGCUGCGAGAGCGGUACCAAAUCGAGGCAAACUCUGAAUACCAUAGAGAAACUAGCCAGUGAGACGGUGGGGGAUAAGCUUCAUCGUCGAAAGGGAAACAGCCCAGACCACCAGCUAAGGUCCCCAAGUGGACACUAAGUGAUAAAGGAGGUGGGAGUGCCGAGACAACCAGGAGGUUUGCCUAGAAGCAGCCAUCCUUAAAAGAGUGCGUAAUAGCUCACUGGUCAAGCGCUCCCGCGCCGAAAAUGAACGGGGCUAAGUGUCCCACCGAAGCUGUGGACUUAGUUUUUAACUAAGUGGUAGAGGAGCGUUCUGCUCUAGGGUGAAGCACUAGCGGCAAGCAGGUGUGGACGAAGCAGAAGUGAGAAUGUCGGCUUAAGUAGCGAAAAUAUGUGUGAGAAUCACAUACCCCGAAAACCUAAGGGUUCCUCCGGCAGGCUCGUCCGCGGAGGGUUAGUCAGGACCUAAGGCGAGGCCGAAAGGCGUAGUCGAUGGACAACGGGUUAACAUUCCCGUACCCGAACAGACUGGUAGCGGAGGACGGAGAAGGCUAAGUCAGCCGGGUGAUGGUAGUCCCGGUUUAAGCGUUCAAAGGUGAUGACGGGUGGUGAAAACACCCUGAGCUAAGACGUGAACAGGACCGGCUACGGCUGGGAAGUGACCGAUGUCAUGCUUCCAAGAAAAGCCCGAACUACUGUAAAUCUGUUUGGCCUGUACCCGAAACCGACACAGGUAGGUAGGUUGAGUAAACCAAGGGGCGCGAGAUAACUCUCUCUAAGGAACUCGGCAAAAUGGCCCCGUAACU
rnacentral:rRNA from 1 species